UGGGGCAAUGCUUCCGAGGUGCUGACAUAGAUGCUGUUUGUGUUGCUCCUAGACAUGUAGAAAGAUCGGAUCUUUCAGUCGUUCUUUGAAAAACUAAAACAUCAAGAGGAAAUAAAAAAUCUAAGAGCAGUUGAAGAUGUAUAUGUACCAGUUGUCAAGUUUGAGUUUGAUGGCA